GCUUUCAUUUCCGUUGCCAACACAUAAAUUAUUUUUGUAAAUUCUUACUUCACUUUUCCCCUUCAAUCUUCUUCGUUUUCUCCGUUUAACAUUUACACGAUGUUACAUUAAAAUUUUCACUUUUCAUUACGUUUGUUACACCCCUGCCACUUAACCUCUAGAUAUACAUACACUUUCUUACCUAUAGGAAGCAAAAUAGGUUGCUGGAUGUUUCCCCUUCAACAAGGAGGAGCAAACUUUCUCGUCCUCUUUAAUUGAUUUCAUGGUUAUAACAUCAGUUUCCUCCGAAUCUUAGCAAAGUACGGGAUUAUUUCGUGGUGAAGUAAGGUGGAAAAGAGUAUUUCUUGGCACAUAAGGUAGCCCAUCUUGAAUUUAAGAUAUUCAUCAAAUGGAGUGGAGGUAGCAAUGAAAACUAUAUGCAUCAACGUGUUGUGUUUAUUUCCAAGUUGUCAAAGCCGCUUGUUUCUUAGAAGAUUGAGGAAGAGCGGACAAAUUCCAUCUCAUUUACGGUUAACGUGAGAAUUGGACGGACUGGUUCGGUGGUAGCUAUUUAAAAGGAAGUAUAUAAGACUUGCAGGUUCAAGAAAUGAGACAUGGGAUGAGUGAGUAAGCGAUAAGGUACAGAUGCUCACAUUGGUAACCCGCCAGCUUAGGAGUCCUAUUCAGCUAUCUUGGAGAGUUCCCUUAUUCCGGAGCCUAGAUUUUGGUACAGAAUCUUUUGUGGUGUAUAUGUAUUUUAUCCAGGGGUACGGCGGGGCCCUGUCCCGUCAUAUGAUACUGUUGUUACUCUUAGAGGUCUGUAGACAUAUGUGUGGGUUGUGUAUCGAUGUCGUUCAGUUGUGUCUAUAUGGCUUAUGUUUUGGGACGUUCCCAUUCGUAGUGGCAGCCUUGUCGGCUUGCAUAGAUAUAUAUAUAUAUAUAUAUAUGUUUUGAGAAGUAAUGUGUUAGGAUAGCGGGGAUGUUCCCUUAUAUAUUAUGAAAGCCUUGUCGGCUUAUGUACUAUAAUGUCUAUUGAAAGUUGUACCUCCACAGGAGACAGGUUGUUGUGAUACGU